ACGCAGAGCUUGAACCCAGGAACCGCAACAUCAUGACGUGAGCUGAAACCAAGAGUUGGAUGCUCAACUGACUGAGCCAUCCAGGCGCCCCGGAAAAAGUGUUGCUUAAUAAGGGUCUUUGGAAAGGCGGGCAACUGCCUUCUACCGGAUAUCUCCUGUGUUCUAGGAGCUUUACCCGUGCGAUCCGUCGGCGUUAACAUCGACACUAUGAAGUUACACUCAGAAAG